AAUUUCCAAAAUCUGUGAUGAUUCCAAGUUAUAAAAGGAUCAAAAUAACUCCAAGAGAAAUACAAAGGUAAAGAACAGGUAGACACAAAACACCCCCAUCAAGCCAGGAUGAUAUUGUGGUCAAUUGAAUAAAAUUAUAGAGAGAUGCUAAAGUGAACUAUGUGAAUUAAAUGUUUCCUACAUAGAAAAGGGGGGCAAUUGUAAACAACAUAGAUAAAAACCACAAAUAGAAGAAGUAUCUACAACUUAGAUUGGAAAUUCAAAAAAUUAAAAGGGAACAGUUGAAAUUUCUAGUAGACCCGUCAAAUCAAAUCAAACUUUUAACUCUUAGUUCUAUUUCAAACUCCCUUCUCUGUUAUGACUACUAUUACAUUACCAACAUAAAUUUCACCCAGGGCAAUACAAUUGAAUAGUCUUGAGAAAAAA
rnacentral:misc_RNA from 1 species